GUUAAAUAACCAGAUUGUGAGCCCC
rnacentral:piRNA from 1 species